rnacentral:misc_RNA from 1 species
GAUGAAGAACGCAGUGAAAUGCGAUAAUUAAUGUGAAUUGCAGAAUUCAGUGAAUCAUCGAGUCUUUGAACGCACAUUGCGCCCCCUGGUAUUCCGGGGGGCAUGCCUGUCCGAGCGUCAUUGCUGCCCUCAAGCACGGCUUGUGUGUUGGGCUUCCGUCCCUGGCAACGGGGACGGGCCCAAAAGGCAGUGGCGGCACCAUGUCUGGUCCUCGAGCGUAUGGGGCUUUGUCACCCGCUCCCGUAGGUCCAGCUGGCAGCUAGCCUCGCAACCAAUCUUUUUAACCAGGUUGACCUCGGAUCAGGUAGGGAUACCCGCUGAACUUAAGCAUAUCAAUAAGCGGAGGA